AUGCAAGUCGAGCGAGAAACCAUCUUCGGGUGGCGGACAGCGGCGGACGGGUGAGUAAUGCGUGGGAAUAUGCCCUUUGGUAUGGAAUAGCCCCUGGAAACGGGGAGUAAUACCGUAUGUGCCCUACGGGGAAAAGAUUUAUCGCCAAAGGAUUAGCCCAUGUUGGAUUAGCUGGUUGGUGAGGUAAAAGCUCACCAAGGCGACGAUCUAUAGCUGGUUUGAGAGGAUGAUCAGCCACACUGGGACUGAGACACGGCCCAGACUCCUACGGGAGGCAGCAGUGGGGAAUAUUAGACAAUGGGCGAAAGCCUGAUCUAGCCAUGCCGCGUGAGUGAAGAAGGCCCUAGGGUUGUAAAGCCCUUUCAGAUGUGAGGAUGAUGACAGUAACAUCAGAAGAAGCCCCGGCUAACUUCGUGCCAGCAGCCGCGGUAAUACGAAGGGGGCUAGCGUUGUUCGGAAUUAC
rnacentral:rRNA from 1 species